rnacentral:rRNA from 1 species
AUUGAACGCUGGCGGCAGGCCUAACACAUGCAAGUCGAGCGGAUGAAGGGAGCUUGCUCCUGGAUUCAGCGGCGGACGGGUGAGUAAUGCCUAGGAAUCUGCCUGGUAGUGGGGGAUAACGUCCGGAAACGGGCGCUAAUACCGCAUACGUCCUGAGGGAGAAAGUGGGGGAGCUUCGGACCUCACGCUACCAGAUGAGCCUAGGUCGGAUUAGCUAGUUGGUGGGGUAAAGGCCUACCAAGGCGACGAUCCGUAACUGGUCUGAGAGGAUGAUCAGUCACACUGGAACUGAGACACGGUCCAGACUCCUACGGGAGGCAGCAGUGGGGAAUAUUGGACAAUGGGCGAAAGCCUGAUCCAGCCAUGCCGCGUGUGUGAAGAAGGUCUUCGGAUUGUAAAGCACUUUAAGUUGGGAGGAAGGGCAGUAAGUUAAUACCUUGCUGUUUUGACGUUACCAACAGAAUAAGCACCGGCUAACUUCGUG